rnacentral:lncRNA from 1 species
UUUCUAUUUAACAACACAUUGUAUUAAAUGUAUAAUCUUAAAUGUUUGUAGUUUAAACAUAUCAUAUAAUUCACUUUUUUUUUUUUUUUUUUGCUGUUCGUAUUAAAGGAUUACAAAAGUUACAAAACAAUUUUAUGUGUAAAAAGAAAUAAUAUUAUUAAAUAUAUAAUUUUGACGUUAACUGAUACUAAUUUUUAUUUGUGGCUAGAAAAUGAACAGCACCCUUUUUAUGUUUCUCCAACGUAAGUUUUUAAAUAUACAUCAUAAAAACGCCUGGUGUAUACGUUUAAUACGAAAAUAAUAUAAAUGUAUAUUUUUGUUAACACAAUAUAGAGGUAUAUAUAUUCGUACACGUUUAUAUUUAGUAACUAUUUAAUGAUGAUUUUUUUUUUUUUUCUUUUUUUUUUUUUCUAUAUUUAAUUAUUAUUAUUAAAUUUAAUUUAAAUAAAUUUGUUCUAAUUGUUACAGAAGCAAUGAAUUAUAUUCUUGCUGUGAAUUUAGUCAAACUAGGAUAGGGGUUAUAUAUAUAGGGAAAAAAAAUGGACACAUAGAAAUAUGGAAUUUGUUGGAACAUAAAAGCCAUUGUAUAUACUCACUAUCCAUAAGUAGUUAUAGCUUAACAUGUAUAAGCAUUUCUAAUUAUUUUGAUAAUAAAUUAAGUAAUAAGAAUGAAAAAAAAAUUAAAAAUUUGGUAGAUGCUGAUAAACAUAAUGAUCUUGAAAAUUGGAAUGAAAUUGUAGACACCAACGAAGAGUUGAUAAACAAAGAUGAAGAUGAUGUUUAUAAAUAUUCUUAUAAUAAAAUAAUAAUUGGCGAUUCCAGUGGCUGCGUUUUUGUUUAUCAAAUUGAAGAAGAAUUUUUAAAUCUAGUAAUUUUUUUUUCUUUUUUGAUAUUAAUUUAUUAAAGGAGCAAAUUAAAAUAUAACCAAAUUAAUACAUACAUACAUGCAUAUACAUAUGUAUCCUAUGUUUACACAUAUUUAUCAUUUUAGAAUAAGGGAGAAAUUGAUAAAUUUUUAUUAUGGACCGAUAACAUGAUACGUGUAAAUAAACAAAUUAAAGAAAGGCA